GUUUAAGCUAGGAUCUAUAAACCUAACCCAAGUAUAUUUAUCAAAAAAUAAAUAAAUACACCUUGGUUUCAUAGAUAUUAUUAUCUAUAAACCUUGGGGGAAACCUACGUCUUAGUCCGUGAACAUAGAUAAUAUUGUUUUCAAAGCCACAGUUGUUAAGUUCACAGUUCACUGUUGUUGUUGUACCCUGUACAUUAGACGCCUUAAUUCGACUUAUUUUAUUCAAUUCUGCGAUUUUAGUGUUCGAAUUAGAAUAAUAUUGGAUUUUUAAAUCAAAAUAAUCUGUAACCCUAUUGCUGGCCAAUCGUGUUCCAAGAUUACUGAAAAAAUGGCGGAUGAAGCUAGCGUGAUUGACCUAGUUGAAACUACAGAACCGUCCACGGACUCAUCUGUUGGAGAGAACGAUGAUGUCGUGCUCAAGUUACAUGCAGAGAUUGACAACUUAAACAUAGUGCUUGACCAUUUGGAACGUAAAAACGGUGACAUUUAUUCGCGAAUUGAACAAUUGCUGGCAUCUAUACAAAGUAACGAUCUCCAAGAAGAAUAAGGCAAUGCUAUGAUCAACAACGAAGGGCUGCAUUAUUAAUAUUAUGGAAAAAUUACUUUUAAUUCUCAGUUGUGUAAAAUCAUAGGCCUUUUGUAAUUUUUACUACUUCACUGUUAUCAUUUGAUCUAUUUCCAAAAACUAUUUGAAAAUAAUAGAUUUUUAUCACUCAGUUUUUACAAAUAAUAUUCAAUUUCUAUAGUAUACAAGUGUGUUGAUACAAUUUUUGCAUUCAUGUUAAUAUUUAAUAUUUUGGCUGUCAUAUAGUAUGCAGUCUACUGGCCGCUGUAGAAUGUGGACUACCUGUGACCAGCCGGUUUUUACACAGGCUAUAAUAUAUCAUGAUAUAAUUUUUAAUUUAUUUAUUUGCAGUUGACCGUAUAGUGUAUACUAUCUUUGUAAAUCGCCAUUAGAUCAUAUACUAUACUCAUAAAUUCAUCGAUAGACCGCAUACGAUAUA